rnacentral:rRNA from 1 species
AUUGAACGCUGGCGGCAGGCCUAACACAUGCAAGUCGAGCGGAUGAAGGGAGCUUGCUCCUGGAUUCAGCGGCGGACGGGCGAGUAAUGCCUAGGAGUCUGCCUGGUAGUGGGGGAUAACGUCCGGAAACGGGCGCUAAUACCGCAUACGUCCUGAGGGAGAAAGUGGGGGAUCUUCGGACCUCACGCUAUCAGAUGAGCCUAGGUCGGAUUAGCUAGUUGGUGGGGUAAAGGCCUACCAAGGCGACGAUCCGUAACUGGUCUGAGAGGAUGAUCAGUCACACUGGAACUGAGACACGGUCCAGACUCCUACGGGAGGCAGCAGUGGGGAAUAUUGGACAAUGGGCGAAAGCCUGAUCCAGCCAUGCCGCGUGUGUGAAGAAGGUCUUCGGAUUGUAAAGCACUUUAAGUUGGGAGGAAGGGCAGUAAGUUAAUACCUUGCUGUUUUGACGUUACCAACAGAAUAAGCACCGGCUAACUUCGUG